GGAGAAUUGUCCGAGAGGCUUAUGGUGCAAACUUGGAAAGUUUGUGUGGGUAAAACCACCAGAGGUUCGAAUCCUCUAUUCUCCG
rnacentral:tRNA from 1 species